UCAGGGUUCUGGGUCCACGGACUGUGGCACACCCUAAACGCAUGCUUCUUCCUGUAGGAAAAUCAAACCACUAGCAUUAAAGAAAUAGUAUCACUUUAUGUGAUGCUUCAAUCAAUUCUCGUUCUAAUGGUACCUCAACAGAGCAUGACUUGAAUGUUUCAUUUGAAUACUGAAAUGACCUUUUAAUCAGAAGAAAGGGUUUUUUGUCAGGGCAUUUGAUCUCUGUAGCAGGGAUGCUUGCCUCUUCACAGGACAAAGUGUCCUCUCUGCAGCUCUCCACUUUUUCAUGAUGCUCAGCCCAGGCCUGGUGUGGCUUUACCCCAGUACAGCGUGCAGGUGUGUACCAUGCUAUGGCCUAGCCACCCAACAGAGUAUGCAGAUCAUCACAUGUUAUGUAUACAGCACAUUCAAUGCUAACAUACAAGUACUAACAUAUAGAGAGACUUGUAGGAAAUGUAUUGUUUAGAUUAAUUAUGUGAUAAAGGGCAAAUAAUGUAGUCUUGGAUCAAUUAUAUACUAUCAGUCUAUCAAUCAUCCUUCACCCCUCAGUGUUCUCACUUGGCCAUUGUCUUUGCAUAGGACUGUGGUGCACUCUGGUCCCAACAUGCGCUCCAACCCAAAGGAAGUCCCCUGGGCUCUGUCUUCCUUCCAGAGGCUUCAGACCAAACCUUACAGUGCAAAUCACGUGCCUACCGUAACAGAGCUAGCUGGCUGUAGGAGUGUUCUGGGAGGGAAGCGGAACUCUGCGAUGGGACAUUCUGCUGGAGACGGACCCCCCCCCAUGUCCUGCUCUCUCUGGGAGGAGUUCCCCAGCCUCACUAACAGACCCUGCAGCUGGACAUCUGUGAUCCGCACACUGCCUGAGGCACUAUGGCACAGCACCGCAGUCAUCAUCACUAUCGUUUCCAUCAUCAUCAUCAUCACCUCCAUCAUCAUCCUCAUCACCAUCAUUAUCAUCAUCAUCUCCAUCACCAUCUUAAUCAUCAUCAUCAAAGUAAGCCAGCACCACAGUCACCUUGGCAUGACAUGACCCUUUCCUACUCCCAAACUGAUUGUGUUCAAGGGUCAUACCUGGAGUAUUCAUGCCUGUGUUGCCUGGCUGUGGACGGCCUCUUCCUUUCCUGUGUCCUGCAGGGAAUGCUCUCCUCCACCACGUCCUUAGUCAGGGAGUGCCAGAUAUCUGUGGUGCGUCAAGUCAAAUAAGUAACAUACAAUCACAUUAACCGUUACUCUCUGGCGGGAAUUCCACUAACGGUCCGUGUGUAGCCAAACGUACCUGCUGCUCAUUCUGUUUGCUUGAUGGAUAAAUGGUAAAAAGAAAUGAAGGCCUGCUUCCAUAGAGAGACAUACCAGCUCUACUGGUAGUGCUGCUACUACCAGCAGUUCUACACCCCUUCGACGACUCAAGUUGUUCUGCUUCCACGAGCACAUCCAAUGUUAGCAUCAGUAAUUCUAUAUUUGUUGUUAGCCCAGCUAGCAUGGACACUGACAGUUGUGAAUCUGAUGCAGCCAAAGAGCUACUGCACCUUACCCGGGAAAGCACCGAACAACAGACAGGGAUGUAGGACCAUCGAAGAGGUGCAAAUAAGAUGAGAACUACAUUGAUUUGGGGUUCACUUAUAUUGGAAGUAGUGCCUUUCCUCAGCUACAGUGUGUUAUAUGUGCCAAAGUACUAUCUCACAACUCAAUGAAACCUUCACUCUUGCGCAGACAUUUAGAAACAAAACAUGCCAAUUUGAAAAAUAAGUCACAGGAGUUUUUUGAGCGAGAAUUAAGAUGGUUUUGAAGUAGUAAGACAUGUAUAAACGCAACAGAUACCAUUUAAUAAGAAGGGGCUAAAGCGUCUUAUAUGGUGAGCUACCGAGUGGCUAGGACAGGCAAGCCCCAUACUAUUGUGGAGGACUUAAUUCUUCCUGCUGCCGCGGAUAUGGCUGGGACAAUGCUGGGGGAAAAGGCCAAAGAAACUAUACAGAAAAUGCCUUCAUCAAACAACACUGUUUCACAAUGCAUCAGUGACAUGGCAGGAGAUGUUUUGAAACAAUUACUGCUUCGCAUUCAAGCCAGGAAAUUCUAUGCGUUACAGCUGGCGGGCCUGGCACAGCUCCUGGUAUAUGUCUGUUACGUUUAUGGGGGGUCAAUUAAGGAAGACAUCCUCUUCUGGAAACCAGGACAAAAGGAGAGGAUUUUUUAAAGUUCUGGACAGCUAUUGUGACAUCAAAUGGACUUUGGUGGUCAAGAUGUGUUGGUAUCUGUACUGAUGGCGCAAAAGCCAUGACAGGGAGACAUAGUGGAGUGGUAAUUCGCGUGCAAGCAGUUGCUCCCGACGCCACUUGGGUACACAGCAGCAUCCACCAAGAGGCUCUUGCUGCCAAGGGAAUGCCUGACAGCUUGAAAGAUGUUUUGGACACUACAGUGAAAAUGGUUAACUUUGUUAAAGCAAGGUCCCUGAACUCUCAUUUAUUUUCUACACUAUGCAAUGAUAUGGGCAGCGACCAUGUAAUGCUUUUACAACAUACAGAUGUGCGCUGGUUAUCAAGGGGCAAAAUAUUGACACGUUUUUUUGAUUUGUGAGACAAGCAUAAACUUUUCUUUACUGACCAUCGUUUUCACUUGUCGUACCGCUUGCAUGAUGACGAGUUUCUCACAUGACUGGCCUAUCUGGGUGAUGUUUUUUCUCGCCUGAAUGAUCUGAAUCUCUAGGAUUACAGGGACUCUCCGCAACUAUAUUCAAUGAGGCUAUGAUUAAGAAGUUGGAGCUCUUCUCUGUCUGCAUUAACAAGGACAACACACAGGUCUUUCCAUCAUUGUAUGUUUUUUUUGUGUGCAAAUGAACUCAAGCUUACGGACAAUAUCAAAUGUGAUAUAGGGAAGCACCUGAGUGAGUUGGGUGCGCAAGUACUUUCUGAUAUCUGAACAAGAGAGCCUCAUCGCAAUUGCAACAAGCGGUUCUGACAAAAUGGAAUUUAAUCAGAAGCCACUGACAGAUUUCUGGAUUGGGCUGUGCUCAGAGUAUCCUGCCUUGGCAAAUCACGCUGUUAAGACACUGAUGCCCUUUGCAACCACGUACCUACGUAUGUGAGUGGAUUAUCGGCCCUCACUAGCAUGAAAACUAAAUACAGGCACAGACUGUGUGUGGAAAAUGAUUUAAGACUGAGACUCUCCAAUACAACCCAACAUUGCAGAGUUAUGUGCAUCCUUUCCAGCAUAACCUUCUCAUUAACCUGUGGUGAGUUAUUCACAAUUUUCGAUUAACAAAUAAGGUUUUAUAUGUACGAUGGUUAAAUAAAUAGAAAAAUGAUUGAAUAUUAUUAUUUGUGCACUGG
rnacentral:lncRNA from 1 species